GGCCUUCUGUAUCCGUGCUGAGAUUUCGUCACACACCACACCAGGGCUUAUAAGACUUCCAAGAUAAGUGAAGCA
rnacentral:pre_miRNA from 1 species